rnacentral:lncRNA from 12 species
CAAGAGCAACAUCCUCCUUCCAGUACCACUAAUUUCUUUUUUUUUUUCUCUCUUUUCUUUCUAAAGGUGCAGGGCAGCAUCCCGCAGUCCUUGCAUAAGCACAAGCCCCACUGACGUCAAUGGGAGUUUUUCCGGGGCGAGGGCUGAGCGCCUUGGCUCGCUGCUAUAAACACGUUGGGACUUUCUCUUUUAAUGGAUGGUAUUUAGAUUCUGUGUGGGGCUUGUUUAACACUCAAACAUAGCAGGGCACACAAGACAAAUUGUCUUUUUGUCAGAGCUGCAUGAGGGCAGGAGAGAAGCACUGAGCUAUUGCAGGCAGUUUUUACCUUCCAUUCACUGCUUGCUGAUCCCCAGCUCCCUUUUCCUGGGAGAUCAAUAACAGCAAAAGUCAGAGGGUGUCAUGGGGCAGGAUUUCCAACAAGCAGAAGUGGAAUUAAUAAGAAUAACAUGCUUUAGAGAUACUAAUAUUUUUUGCCUGUAAGUUUCAGAGCUGAAAUGUAGCUGUCUGCUCCCUUGGAGAGAAGGGUUAGCACCCACAGCCCUGUCUAUAACUGGGCUUAUUGCUGCCAACCACCCCAAUGACAUGGGUAGGGUAUAUAACCCUUGGUGUGUGCAUGUCUGUUUACACUACAAAACAAAGCCAAAAUCACACAUUGCCUUUAAUCUGAGCCAUCUUUCCAUCAAUAUCUUAUUUCUUGCCCCAGAUAAAUGACUGAUGUUGCAGCGCCUGGUAACAUGGCAACUCCUCCCAAUAAUUUUCUAUAUCCUCUCCAAUGAUAUUCACCCCCACCCCGGAAGGUAUUAAUAUUUUGAAAUUAACUCUGCCUGACAUACUAAAAAAUGUGAAAUGCAGGGUAUUUGGUUCCUGAAUUCUGGAUGUUCCUCUCUUUGUGUCCUCCUAGGAUGGAGAAACGAGACUUCUAAUGACACAGCCCAGUGCACACACAGUCCUCGAGCAUCCCCAGACCAACGGCAUGGCAGCCACUGGGCAUGCAGGUUUAUACAUGUGCCAAAAAUGCAACAGGAGAAGGCUGUGAAAAAUUAGGAAAUCUUCUUGACAUUGGGAAAUCCGACACUUGUCUGCUCUAACAUCUGUAAGUGCCAAAGAAAGAGGGGGAUUUUUUCCUUAAAGGUAAGUCAAUUUUUCUUCUUGCUAGAUAUAAAAAUUGUGGUUAGUGCCUGGAGUAAAGGGCCCUCUAAAGUUUAUAGUGUUUACCCUCCGUUUAUAAAUCCAUAAUGAUCUAUUUAAUGAUAUCAUAAGGUUAAAAGUUAAACAGCACUGUAUUUUCUCUGCCUUUUUCUCCUCUGCCGUUUGGAAAGGCAGGUUUGCUAUCUCCGAGAGACAAUCGGUCGGGGUUAUUUUCUGAAGGAAAAAUAUAGGUAAAAAUCCUUCACACAGAAGGAUUCAUAAAGGCAAGGAUGAGAAGAUAAAGGUAUUAUUUUGACAUGAUGACCCCUGGAAAAUAUCUUUGACUCAUCCCAAGUAAGCCCCUUUCUUUCCUUCCUCCACCCUCUCCCCCUCCCCUCAAAAUGCGGGGCUAAUUUAAAACAUUUUCUAGAUAUGCUACUUAUACAUAUUGAAAACAUAUUUUAGUGACUGUGUUUGUUUUGGCAAUAUAUAAACCAAAAAAAAAAAGAACCCCAAUUAAAUUAAAAAGAGCGACUUUUAAAAGUUAGAGAUUGCCUUUUAAAAGCUUAUUAAAAUCAGCAUGUUAGAUGUCUGUCUUUGAAUUAGCUCCGAGGCUUGAUUGCUUUCAUUAAAACUGCCUGUUUGGGUGCUGCUUGGUGAAUGUUCAAGUCUGGAUUUUUUCCCCUCUUACCCCCCCCCAGCCCUGAGCUGCUUCUUACUACUUGUCAACUUGGAUUUUCCCUCCAAAUUUGAAAGUGAAACUUGGAUUUUUUUUUUUUUGAGAGGCAACAGCCACCCCCACCCUGCCUUCCCCUUGCAAAAUAUCACGACCAAAAUCACCAGUAACCCGAGACAGAGAGAGACCAACAGGUAAUAUAUAUACUAACAUAUAUAUAUAUAUAUUUUGCUUAAAAAAAGACACACC